AUUGCCGGUUGCAUAAUCUCCAUUCAAGUUCAACGGACUUAUGACGACUCGAAGUUCAGAGGAAAUUGUGGUUAUGGCAGCCAUGUUCGACCAAGGAAUCAUCUUGCAGGAUGAGACCAAUGUUGGUGUACCGCACCUGCCCAGGUCGCCUGCUGUACACCCGAUCUGGACCCCCCAGUUGUUUCAGGCUCGUGAGCCCACCACCUUUGAGUUAAUGGGAAUGAUCAGCGACCUCCCGAGAUCUGUGGCCGAUC
rnacentral:sRNA from 1 species